rnacentral:rRNA from 1 species
AAGACCUUGCGCUUUUGGAGCGGCCGAUGCCUGAUUAGCUUGUUGGUAAGGUAAAAGCUUACCAAGGCUUCGAUCAGUAGCUGGUCUGAGAGGACGACCAGCCACACUGGGACUGAGACACGGCCCAGACUCCUACGGGAGGCAGCAGUGGGGAAUUUUGGACAAUGGGGGCAACCCUGAUCCAGCCAUGCCGCGUGAGUGAAGAAGGCCUUCGGGUUGUAAAGCUCUUUCAGCCGGAACGAAACGGUUACGGAUAACACCCGUGACUACUGACGGUACCGGAAGAAGAAGCACCGGCUAACUACGUGCCAGCAGCCGCGGUAAUACGUAGGGUGCAAGCGUUAAUCGGAAUUACUGGGCGUAAAGCGUGCGCAGGUGGUUUUGUAAGUCAGAUGUGAAAUCCCCGGGCUUAACCUGGGAACU